rnacentral:rRNA from 1 species
AGAGUUUGAUCAUGGCUCAGGACGAACGCUGGCGGCGUGCUUAACACAUGCAAGUCAAGGGGGCCCGUAGCAAUACGGGCAACCGGCGAACGGGUGCGUAACACGUGAGCAACCUGCCGAUCUGCGGGGGAUAGCCGGCCCAACGGCCGGGUAAUACCGCAUACGUUCUCGAGAGGGAGUCCUCUUGGGAGGAAACCUUUAUUGGGCAGAUCGAGGGGCUCGCGGCCUAUCAGCUAGUUGGCGGGGUAAUGGCCCACCAAGGCACCGACGGGUAGCUGGUCUGAGAGGAUGGCCAGCCACAUUGGGACUGAGAAACGGCCCAGACUCCUACGGGAGGCAGCAGUGGGGAAUCUUGCGCAAUGGCCGAAAGGCUGACGCAGCGACGCCGCGUGUGGGAGGACGCCCUUCGGGGUGUAAACCACUGUUGCCCGGGACGAACACCCUCUUUCGAGAGGGCUGACGGUACCGGGUGAGGAAGCACCGGCUAACUCCGUGCCAGCCGCCGCGGUAAUAC